rnacentral:rRNA from 1 species
AUUGAACGCUGGCGGCAGGCCUAACACAUGCAAGUCGAGCGGAGCAGCGGACGGGUGAGUAAUGCCUGGGCAUCUGCCUGGUAGUUGGGGAUAACGUCCGGAAACGGGCGCUAAUACCGCAUCCUAUCAGCUUAGCCUAGGUCGGAUUAGGUAGUUGGUGGGGUAAAGGCCUACCAAGGCGACGAUCCGUAACUGGUCUGAGAGGAUGAUCAGUCACACUGGAACUGAGACACGGUCCAGACUCCUACGGGAGGCAGCAGUGGGGAAUAUUGGACAAUGGGCGAAAGCCUGAUCCAGCCAUGCCGCGUGAGUGAAGAAGGUCUUCGGAUUGUAAAGUACUUUAAGUGGGGAGGCGUUACUAACAGAAGAAGCACCGGCUAACUUCGUGCCAGCCGCCGCGGUAAUUC